CGAAGGGGGCUAGCGUUGUUCGGAAUUACUGGGCGUAAAGCGCACGCAGGCGGUUCGAUUAGUCAGAAGUGAAAGCCCCGGGCUCAACCUGGGAACUGCUUUUGAUACUGUCGAGCUUGAAUCACGGAGAGGGUAGUGGAAUUCCGAGUGUAGAGGUGAAAUUCGUAGAUAUUCGGAAGAACACCAGUGGCGAAGGCGACUACCUGGCCGUCGAUUGACGCUCAUGUGCGAAAGCGUGGGGAGCAAACAGGAUUAGAUACCCUGGUAGUCCACGCCGUAAACGAUGGGUGCUAGUUGUUGGAGUACAUGUACCUCAGUGACGCAGCUAACGCGUUAAGCACCCCACCUGGGGAGUACGGCCGCAAGGUUA
rnacentral:rRNA from 1 species